rnacentral:rRNA from 1 species
CGGGUGAGUAACACGUGGAUAACCUACCUAUAAGACUGGGAUAACUUCGGGAAACCGGAGCUAAUACCGGAUAAUAUUUUGAACCGCAUGGUCCAAAAGUGAAAGACGGUCUUGCUGUCACUUAUAGAUGGAUCCGCGCUGCAUUAGCUAGUUGGUAAGGUAACGGCUUACCAAGGCAACGAUGCAUAGCCGACCUGAGAGGGUGAUCGGCCACACUGGAACUGAGACACGGUCCAG